AAUCAACGCUGGCGGCGUGCCUAACACAUGCAAGUCGAACGCGAAAGCCCCUUCGGGGGUAAGUAGAGUGGCGUCCGGGUGAGUAACACGUAGGUAAUCUACCUUCGGGUGGGGAAUAACCAGUCGAAAGAUUGGCUAAUACCGCAUAAUGCAGCGGCACCUAAUGGUGAUUAGUUGUUAAAGCGGGGGAUCGUAAGACCUCGCGCCUGAAGAGGAGCCUGCGGCAGAUUAGCUAGUUGGGAGGUAAUGGCUCACCAAGGCUUCGAUCUGUAGCUGGUCUGAGAGGACGGCCAGCCACACUGGCACUGACACACGGGCCAGACUCCUACGGGAGGCAGCAGUAGGGAAUAUUGGUCAAUGGAUGGAAGUCUGAACCAGCCAUGCCGCGUGCAGGAAGAAGGCCUUCUGGGUUGUAAACUGCUUUUGCCAGGGGAUAAAAUACCUUGCGAGGUAAAUUGAAGGUACCUGGUGAAUAAGCCACGGCUAACUACGUGCC
rnacentral:rRNA from 1 species